GACGGAGGAUGCAAGCGUUAUCCGGAAUGAUUGGGCGUAAAGCGUCCGCAGGUGGCAGUUCAAGUCUGCUGUCAAAGACCGGGGCUUAACUUCGGAAAGGCAGUGGAAACUGAACAGCUAGAGUAUGGUAGGGGCAGAGGGAAUUCCUGGUGUAGCGGUGAAAUGCGUAGAUAUCAGGAGGAACACCUGUGGUGUAGACAGCUUACUGGACCACGACUGACGCUGAGACACGAAAGCGUGGGUAGCAAACAGG
rnacentral:rRNA from 1 species